rnacentral:lncRNA from 1 species
UCCAGGUUCAGCCUAGGCACACUCAGUAUCCAACACAGGCUGGAGAUGAAAUAAGGAAACUCUUUUGGGCAUAGCUGUAAGGUCAACAAAUUGGAAAAAGCCACAAUUCACCCUUGGGAAGGAUUAAAUAUGCCGACAUCCUCCAAAUUGAUUUACCUAGAUCAGACCACAUGUUAAUGAGGCAGACAAGUUACUCUAAUUCAUCGUUACUAUUCUAAAUGCAGGGACCUUUUCACAUUGAAGAGGCGGGGCAAUGGAUUCAAAUGAGCAUCACUCACUUACGGCUUGUCACUCACCCUUGCUAGGCCAAAGCCAUUUAUAAUUGCUGUCAUCUAAACUGCACUGAAACGAACUGGACAUUCAAAGAGCGCAGCUCCCAAGAAACAAAGGCUAAUAAGAGCAGUUACCAGCAUUUUUGGAACAAAGCAGACGGAAGCUGGGAUAGGAGGAAAGAAGAGGACAGAAGCAGAGACAGAGUUCUAAUGAGACAUUUCACCAAGAUUUAUGAAGGCUCCUUCUUGAGCAAACUACAGUGCGAGGUGAUCUGGGGACUAUUGUACAUGAAGCCAUGCAGCUUUGUCUGAAAGAUACCUACUCAACACCUCUGGAUGAGCCCUGUGAGAAAGCUCUCCAACACAGGGGAGGGAAUGAGGCUCUGACAAGCACAGCAAGCACACACGGCCUGGACACGCUGCCGAGGAGCCUCUGCUUUUAACCCUCCAGGCUUUCCAGAUACUUUCCUGAGUGAACUUUUGGUGUCCCCUUUCAUAAUAUAAGCUCCAGAAAGCGGAAGUUCAAUUAAACCAGAAAAACCUGUUUAAUUGAAGCCAACCAUUGUUUAUUGAACACUGAUUGGUGGAAAGCACUGUGGUAAGUGUUGAGGAAACAAGCUUGGUAAGACACAGUCUGUGCCUUAUGUUUGCUUCCCACUCUCAUCAGUCUUGACCAGGGAUUGGCAAAUGUUUUCUUAAAGGUUCAGAUAGUAAAUAUUUUAGACUUGUGGGCCAUAUAGUCUCUAUCAAAACUAUUCAACUCUGCAGCUGAAGCAUGAAAGUAACCAAAAACAAUACAUGAAUGGAUGGGUGUGGUUGUGUUCCAAUAAAACUUUUUUUACCAAAAACAGAUAGCAGGCUGAAUUCAGCUUAUGGUUUGCAGACCUCUCGUCUUGACCAUUUCUGGUUAGUGCAUCAAGCCACCAGCUGAGCUUCAGUUUUUAUAUAACAGUGAUAGUCAUGAUAUGAAUUGGGAGCUUAUCAGAAUCUCUGAGCAUAAGAUUAUAACAUAAACAUCUCUCCAUCCUUUUAUUUAUUAUGCAUUAAACAAAAAACUUUCUCUGCCUACCCCUUUAAAGACUCAUUCAACCACCACUCUGCUCCAGCAGAGAAAAAGAUGUGUGUUUUGGUUUCCUCCACAAGGAAUGAUUAGGGAAAUGGUUAGAGACUUGCUGUAUAACAUUAGAGACUUGCUCAGAUAAAUAGGCCUUCACUUUAACUGUGGUAUAAAUGAAGCAGCCGAGAGAAUGACAGCAUCAUUAAUUCAAGGAAUAUUUAUUGAGCACCUACUAUGUGAAAGGUCCUGGAAUACAGGUAUUAGAGAAGUGGUAAACAAAAGACACAGGCUCUCCAUCUCUUAUAAAGCUUAGAAUCUGACUAGGAGACACACAAUCUGUACAUAAACACAAAAGAUAUAAAUGAUUAUUAAUUAAAAAAGAAAAUGAGUAAUAUGAAAGAAAUUCACAGUUUGUCAUGAGAAUAAAUAUGGAGUGAACCUAAUGAAGCUUGGAGGUCAAGGAGGAUCUGUUUAAGGAAAUGACCUUUAAACUAAGACCUGAAAAAUGGGCAGAAAUUAGGUGAAGAGUAGGCAAUGGGAAAGAUUACAGGUUAAAU